AGCCUCUUCCCUUUUGCUUUAGUCUGCUGAGAGCACACAUUCUUCUUCACACAACCCAAACUCUUUGCAACUUCAAGACAGCUGUGGCUGCGAGGAUAGAGCAGAAAUAAGGCGGAGAUGACUGGCAUAAAGUGCGUGGCUGAUAUACAGAUGAACAUCUGACAUGCCAGGGGAAGGAGGAGUACUGUGCAUGCUGUACUGUGGAUUUGACAAGCAGAUAGUCUCAGUGCUUGGGUGUGGUGCGAAAACAGGCGGUGCAUGAUGGUGUGAUCUAGCAUGUGGAUGUGGGUCGGAGAAUCAGUGGCUGAUCAUUAGGGCACUAAGUGUAAACAGCAGCAGGCCCACAGGUGAAGACCUAACGUGGCCUCCUCACAGAAGAUCAAUAGCCCAUCCACAGAGAGCAGCACACAUGCACAACACAUAUCCUUAGCAACAGUCUUUGAGAUCCACCACCAGAUUUCCCAUUAAAAAUGAGCAUUCUGUCAUUAUUUACUCAUUGUUUAUUUACUAGUGAAAGAGAAGGGGCUCUCAAACUCCACAAUGACAAGAAAGCAUCAUAAAAGUCAGUCAUAUGACACACACACACACACACACACACACACACACACACACACACACACACACACACACACACACACACACACACACACACACACACACACACA